rnacentral:rRNA from 1 species
CGUACGGGGACAACAUUCCGAAAGGGGUGCUAAUACCGGAUGUGACGCUCCUAUCGCAUGACGGGAGCGUGAAAGAUGGCCUCUACAUGUAAGCUAUCGCUAAAGGAUGGGCCUGCGUCUGAUUAGCUAGUUGGUAGUGUAACGGACAACCGAGGCGAUGAUCAGUAGCCGGUCUGAGAGGAUGAACGGCCACGUUGGGACUGAGACACGGCCCAG